UCAUCAAGGAGGCCCUGGUGGUCCAAAUAAUGGUGGCCCCGGAGGCUCAAAUAAUAACAACACUAAUAGCACUGGCCCCCAAGGUCAAAUGAAUAAACCUUAUUACUCAAAUAACGGUGGUGGAGGUGCAAGUCGAGCUGUUAACGAUAUAUGCAAUUAACGAAUGAAUACACUACAAAAAAUAAAAACAAG